rnacentral:rRNA from 1 species
UGGGGAAUCUUCCGCAAUGGACGAAAGUCUGACGGAGCAACGCCGCGUGAGUGAAGAAGGCCUUCGGGUUGUAAAGCUCUGUUUUUAGGGAAGAAUGUGCGAAGUGUAAAUAAUGCUUUGCAAUGACGGUACCUAAAGAGGAAGUCACGGCUAACUACGUGCCAGCAGCCGCGGUAAUACGGAGGGUGCGAGCGUUAAUCGGAAUCACUGGGCGUAAAGCGCUCGUAGGCUGUUUGUUAAGUCAGAGGUGAAAUCCCACGGCUCAACCGUGGAACUGCCUUUGAUACUGGCAGACUAGAAUCCGGGAGAGGGUGGCGGAAUUCCAGGUGUAGGAGUGAAAUCCGUAGAUAUCUGGAGGAACAUCAGUGGCGAAGGCGGCCACCUGGACCGGUAUUGACGCUGAGGAGCGAAAGCGUGGGGAGCAAACA